rnacentral:misc_RNA from 1 species
ACACCUCAACUCAUCGUGGUUUUCCAUGAUGAGCUUGGACUUUGGGGGUUUUGCUGGCCUACAGUCGGCUCCUCUAAAAUAAAUCAGCUUACCGGUGUUUGGUGGGUAUCAUGGGUGUGAUAACUAUCUACGCUUGUGGUUUUUCCACCAGGUAACCUUCAGCAGUGAAGGUUCACUGGAGCUCAUAGACGUCUCUCCUCAGUGAGGACAGCCCUUUGAAU